rnacentral:rRNA from 1 species
UACGUAGGUGGCAAGCGUUGUCCGGAUUUACUGGGCGUAAAGAGCGCGCAGGCGGUCGGAUAAGUCGAAUGUGAAAGCCCCCGGCUCAACUGGGGAGGGUCAUUCGAUACUGUUCGACUCGAAGGCAGGAGAGGGAAGUGGAAUUCCCGGUGUAGUGGUGAAAUGCGUAGAUAUCGGGAGGAACACCAGUGGCGAAGGCGACUUCCUGGCCUGUUCUUGACGCUGAGGCGCGAAAGCUGGGGGAGCAAACGGG